CCGAUGAAGACGGCCCGAACCCGCACAAGCGCCCCGGUCCAGAUCCCCGCCGUCGCUCCCGGACCCCGGCGCCCUCCUGGCUCCCAUCUCGCAUCGCCCCUGCAACUCAACUCCGGCGGCCCUCCCUGCAUCCCGCACCACCCCUGGCCACCCUCCACCUCGCACCACCUUGCCACUGGCCUACCCUCCCUGCACUGCCCCCUGGCCACCACGGCACCCAGGUCGUUCACCGCCGGCACCACAGUCCGUUCACCGCUGACACACGAGGCCGUUCAACGACGCAAUGAGUUCAGUCCAAGCUUCGGCAGGUGACGGCCGCGCCAAUUCUGUAGUGGCAACAGGAGGGUCAAGUCGCUGUGGUUGGAGGACGGCGCCCUGCUGCUGCUCUAAAUUAGAUACAAGCGCCGCAUCGAGCGGCUGUCCUCUACAGUGACACACGAAUAGCUACUGCCGCAUCAGUACGUGCAUCAGUACGUGUGUGCUGCCGCAUCAGUACUGAAACUCUACCUCGAACGAGCCCAUGCGGGAACCGUGGCCUCCAUCGCGUUUGGUCGUCUCCGUCCUCGUUAUCUUCUGUAUAGUGUGUUGUCGACCCCUUCGUUUCAAGCCCGUUUCUGGCCGACCACAUACUGCUUGAACUGAUGAGCUUGAACUACGUGUGCUGCUAGCCAUUUUGUAUUACUUGAACGGCCGCCCUUGCAUCAUCAAAAUCUUGAUUUACUGGGCAAGGCAUGUCAUGUGGGGUAGUUGGAAGGGUGGGGAAGCUCGUUGCCUUGCCGUGGUUCUAGCGGGAGACGGGCGGGCUGGUGUACACAGAGGAUAGAGGCCUUGGCCCUGUACGUCCAGGUUUGUAUCGAUACUCCGGCCAACUCCAUUGAUCUUCUCAGUAAAUGCUCCACUGGUAACUCCAUUCAAAAUUUUGUCAAGUUUGAUUGCCAUGCUCUAGCCUCACAUCACAUUUUGUUCCAGUUCUGCUCAUACUAUAAGUUUGUUAAAACCUACCUAAUAUAUAGCUAAUUCAACAUCCGACAUUUCUGUUGUAUUUGUGUGCCCACACCCGCAUAUGUUUGUACAAAAAAGAAAAUGAAUGUUAGAGUGGGUGAUUAAACAACUCAAUGUUCUUCUGUUAUUCAAGUAGGCACCUGAAAAAAAAAGUUCACCUUGGUUAGAUGAACCAAAUGGGUUGUGUAGUUCUUCUGUUAUUUAACGAGGCACCUGAAAAAAACUAAGCAGAAUAAAUAAGAUGGCAGUAACAACCGGGUUGACUUUUUGUAAUUUUCUGUGUAUGAUUGCAGUACUUUUUGUAAGAAAACACAUGGUACUUUGUAAAAAAACACUCCGAGUCUAUUUGGACUGAUCGUUCGACUUCUUUCGUAUAGAAGGUUCAAAAAGGUUUGCUCCUGAAAUUGCACAUAUUUAGAGUAUGCGAAUAUAUUAUGCAUUUCUUAAUUUUGCUCUUGUGUAACAGUUCAACAUGUCUUAUGUCAUCAAUUCAUAAUGAAAAAAAGAAGGAAUAGUUCAAAACGUGUGUGUUAAAAACAGAACAGUAUAGAUAAACUUCCGUAUCAGUUCGAUGGAAUAAAUCACAUCAGUUCUGACUCGGAUCGGCUGUUGCCUACAAUGCAUUGAAAAUAAAAUUUUCAAUCAAAUUAAUCUAGUUGUUCUAUAUUGGCUUAAAGUUUUCAUAUCUUUUAUCUUACCGAUGAUGCUUUGAACUGAACAAGAGCGCUGGGUAAUAAGUGUGCCUUUGGUUUAAUACUAAAAGAUCUGUUCGCUGACUUAUAGUAGCAAAAUCUCAUGGAAGUGUGUGUUGGUGGCUUCAAUUAAUUUUACGCUUGCAUACAGGAUGGUGGCAGUGGUAGCGCAGAAUUGGAGAAAGAAAAAGAGGAAAGCCAUCCAAAAAACUAACAUUUUUUCAUGUUUCUCUCUAGCUGAAAUAAAGCAAGACUGAUGUACUACACUUCAUCUCUCUGCACAGCAGGUUCAUGUACAUCGACGACGUCGCCAUGCGUGCACGCUCCAACCUGUCCCGUGUCGCAGCCCCACCACUCGUUGACGAUGCACUCCAACCCCGAGGACCUCCAUGAUGGAGGUCGCCUCGCAGCCUAGCGGCGAGAUAACUCAUCUUCCUUUGUUUGUUGGUUUCUCUUGCAUUUACGGACAUCUUGGGAUUGCUAGGUGCAGAAUCAAGAAGCCCAAUCAUCAUUAGGGAUGAAAAAAAGAGAGAAGCACGGGAAGAGGUACUAGUAGAAGAGGAAGAAGUAAUGUGAAAAAUGAGAUAAAUGUGAGAAUAGCAAGUAGUAAAGCUUGAGAGGGAUUCAGAUUUUGUUUUCACAUUCUUGUUGUACACGUACCUUUGGUCUGUAGAUGCACCAUAAUGGAUCUAGGAAGUAUGAAUGGUUAAUACAUCAAUGGUGCACUAUGCAUCUUUGGCAGGUUUUUAUGCAUUUUUAAA